GCCAGCAUAGUGUAGUGGUUUGAGUGCUAGACUAGGACUCUAGAGACCAGGAUUCAGAUCCCCUGCUCAGCCA